GCUGAAGUUGGAUGGAAUUAAGGCCGAGGGCGAAGCCAAAAUGCAGAGGAAGAAUGAGGUACGUCGUAUUCAGAGUGUCGUAGACAUGCUUGACGCGCUCAAGGCAAGGAACUCCAACCCCUUCAUCAGCAAUAGUGAUGCCGUCACAGUGUCGACCCAGUGGGAGACAUUUGACUCGGGGAUGGGGAGCUUGACUGCUCCUCGCCCGAUGCCGCCAUCUUCUGCUGCAAUGACGGACCACUGGGAACGGUUUG
rnacentral:misc_RNA from 1 species